CGCACGGGUGAGUAACACGUAUGGAACCUGCCCGCAGCAGGGGGAUAAGCGGAAGAAAUUCCGUCUAAUACCGCGUAACACCAUUUGGAGACAUCUCCAGGUGGUCAAAGGAGGCGACUCCGGCAUAGGAUGGCCAUGCGUCGCAUUAGCUAGUCGGCGGGGUAACGGCCCACCGAGGCGACGAUGCGUAGGGGUUCUGAGAGGAAGGUCCCCCACACUGGUACUGAGACACGGACCAGACUCCUACGGGAGGCAGCAG
rnacentral:rRNA from 1 species